rnacentral:rRNA from 1 species
GGGUUGUGAGGUUAAGCGACUAAGCGUACACGGUGGAUGCCCUGGCAGUCAGAGGCGAUGAAGGACGUGCUAAUCUGCGAAAAGCGUCGGUAAGGUGAUAUGAACCGUUACAGCCGGCGAUGUCCGAAUGGGGAAACCCAGUGUGAUUCGUCACACUAUCGUUAACUGAAUACAUAGGUUAACGAGGCGAACCGGGGGAACUGAAACAUCUAAGUACCCCGAGGAAAAGAAAUCAACCGAGAUUCCCCCAGUAGCGGCGAGCGAACGGGGAGCAGCCCAGAGUCUGAAUCAGCUUGUGUGUUAGUGGAACGGUCUGGAAAGUCCGACGGUACAGGGUGAUAGUCCCGUACACCAAAAUGCACAGGCUGUGAACUCGAAGAGUAGGGCGGGACACGUGGUAUCCUGUCUGAAUAUGGGGGGACCAUCCUCCAAGGCUAAAUACUCCUGACUGACCGAUAGUGAACCAGUACCGUGAGGGAAAGGCGAAAAGAACCCCGGCGAGGGGAGUGAAAAAGAACCUGAAACCGUGUACGUACAAGCAGUGGGAGCACCUUUAUGGUGUGACUGCGUACCUUUUGUAUAAUGGGUCAGCGACUUAUAUUCUGUAGCAAGGUUAACCGUAUAGGGGAGCCGCAGGGAAACCGAGUCUUAACUGGGCGUUAAGUUGCAGGGUAUAGACCCGAAACCCGGUGAUCUAGCCAUGGGCAGGUUGAAGGUUGGGUAACACUAACUGGAGGACCGAACCGACUAAUGUUGAAAAAUUAGCGGAUGACUUGUGGCUGGGGGUGAAAGGCCAAUCAAACCGGGAGAUAGCUGGUUCUCCCCGAAAGCUAUUUAGGUAGCGCCUCGUGAAUUCAUCUUCGGGGGUAGAGCACUGUUUCGGCUAGGGGGUCAUCCCGACUUACCAACCCGAUGCAAACUACGAAUACCGAAGAAUGUUAUCACGGGAGACACACGGCGGGUGCUAACGUCCGUCGUGAAGAGGGAAACAACCCAGACCGCCAGCUAAGGUCCCAAAGUCACAGUUAAGUGGGAAACGAUGUGGGAAGGCACAGACAGCCAGGAUGUUGGCUUAGAAGCAGCCAUCAUUUAAAGAAAGCGUAAUAGCUCACUGGUCGAGUCGGCCUGCGCGGAAGAUGUAACGGGGCUAAACUGUGCACCGAAGCUGCGGCAGCGACACUAUGUGUUGUUGGGUAGGGGAGCGUUCUGUAAGCCUGCGAAGGUGGCCUGUGAGGGUUGCUGGAGGUAUCAGAAGUGCGAAUGCUGACAUAAGUAACGAUAAUGCGGGUGAAAAGCCCGCACGCCGGAAGACCAAGGGUUCCUGUCCAACGUUAAUCGGGGCAGGGUGAGUCGACCCCUAAGGCGAGGCCGAAAGGCGUAGUCGAUGGGAAACAGGUUAAUAUUCCUGUACUUGGUGUUACUGCGAAGGGGGGACGGAGAAGGCUAUGUUAGCCGGGCGACGGUUGUCCCGGUUUAAGCAUGUAGGCGGAGGUUCCAGGUAAAUCCGGUACCUUUUAACGCUGAGGUGUGAUGACGAGGCACUACGGUGCUGAAGUAACAAAUGCCCUGCUUCCAGGAAAAGCCUCUAAGCAUCAGGUAACAUUGAAUCGUACCCCAAACCGACACAGGUGGUCAGGUAGAGAAUACCAAGGCGCUUGAGAGAACUCGGGUGAAGGAACUAGGCAAAAUGGUGCCGUAACUUCGGGAGAAGGCACGCUGAUAUGUAGGUGAAGCCCCUGCGGGUGGAGCUGAAAUCAGUCGAAGAUACCAGCUGGCUGCAACUGUUUAUUAAAAACACAGCACUGUGCAAACACGAAAGUGGACGUAUACGGUGUGACGCCUGCCCGGUGCCGGAAGGUUAAUUGAUGGGGUUAUCCGUAAGGAGAAGCUCUUGAUCGAAGCCCCGGUAAACGGCGGCCGUAACUAUAACGGUCCUAAGGUAGCGAAAUUCCUUGUCGGGUAAGUUCCGACCUGCACGAAUGGCGUAAUGAUGGCCAGGCUGUCUCCACCCGAGACUCAGUGAAAUUGAACUCGCUGUGAAGAUGCAGUGUACCCGCGGCAAGACGGAAAGACCCCGUGAACCUUUACUAUAGCUUGACACUGAACAUUGAGCCUUGAUGUGUAGGAUAGGUGGGAGGCUUUGAAGCGUGGACGCCAGUCUGCGUGGAGCCAACCUUGAAAUACCACCCUUUAAUGUUUGAUGUUCUAACGUUGGCCCCUGACCGGGGUUGCGGACAGUGUCUGGUGGGUAGUUUGACUGGGGCGGUCUCCUCCCAAAGAGUAACGGAGGAGCACGAAGGUUAGCUAAUCCUGGUCGGACAUCAGGAGGUUAGUGCAAUGGCAUAAGCUAGCUUGACUGCGAGCGUGACGGCGCGAGCAGGUGCGAAAGCAGGUCAUAGUGAUCCGGUGGUUCUGAAUGGAAGGGCCAUCGCUCAACGGAUAAAAGGUACUCCGGGGAUAACAGGCUGAUACCGCCCAAGAGUUCAUAUCGACGGCGGUGUUUGGCACCUCGAUGUCGGCUCAUCACAUCCUGGGGCUGAAGUAGGUCCCAAGGGUAUGGCUGUUCGCCAUUUAAAGUGGUACGCGAGCUGGGUUUAGAACGUCGUGAGACAGUUCGGUCCCUAUCUGCCGUGGGCGCUGGAGAAUUGAGGGGGGCUGCUCCUAGUACGAGAGGACCGGAGUGGACGCAUCACUGGUGUUCGGGUUGUCAUGCCAAUGGCAUUGCCCGGUAGCUAAAUGCGGAAGAGAUAAGUGCUGAAAGCAUCUAAGCACGAAACUUGCCCCGAGAUGAGUUCUCCCUGAGACUUUAAGUCUCCUGAAGGAACGUUAAAGACGAUGACGUUGAUAGGUCGGGUGUGUAAGCGUAGCGAUACGUUGAGCUAACCGAUACUAAUGAACCGUGAGGCUUAACCUUACAACGCCGAAG